GACGAACGCUGGCGGCGUGCUUAACACAUGCAAGUCGAACGGAAAGGCCCUGCUUUUGUGGGGUGCUCGUGUGGCGAACGGGUGAGUAACACGUGAGUAACCUGCCCUUGACUUUGUGAUAACUUCAGGAAACUGGGGCUCAUACCGGAUAGGAGCUCCUGCUGCAUGGUGGGGGUUGGAAAGUUUCGGCGUUUGGGGAUGUACUCGCGGCUUAUCAGCUUGUUAGUGUGGUAGUGGCUUACCAAGCCUUUGACGGGUAGCCGGCCUGAGAGGGGGAACGGGGACAUUGGGACUGAGGUAGGGACCAGACGGCUACGGGAGGCAGCAGUGGGGAAUAUUGCACAAUGGGCGGAAGCCUGAGGCAGCAACGCCGCGUGCGGGAUGACGGCCUUCGGGUUGUAAACCGCUUUCGCCGGUGACGAAGCGUGAGUGACGGUAAUGGGUAAAGAAGCACCGGCUAACUACGUG
rnacentral:rRNA from 1 species